GAUGAACGCUAGCGACAGGCCUAACACAUGAAAGUCGAGGGGCAGCACGAAGUAAGCUUGCUUACUUUGGUGGCGACCGGCGCACGGGUGCGUAACAGGUGUGCAAUCUGUCCAUAAUCGGGGAAUAGCCCAGCGAAAGUUGGAUUAAUGCUCCAUGUGAGUUUUAGCGGCAUCUCUUUAAUUUGAAACGUAAGGUUUAUGGGUGAGCACGCUUCUGAUUAGAUAGUUGGUGAGGUAACGGCUCACCAAGCCGACGAUCAGUAGGGGUUCUGAGAGGAAGGUCCCCCACAUUGGAACUGAGACACGGUCCAAACUCCUAAGGGAGGCAGCAGAGAGGAAUAUUGGUCAAUGGACGGAAGUCUGAACCAGCCAAGUCGCGUGAAGGAUGAAGGUUCUAUGGAUUGUAAACUUCUUUUGUCUGAGGGUAAAACAGUGGACGUGUCCACUCUUGCAAGUAUCAGACGAAUAAGCAUCGGCUAACUCCGUGCCAGCAGCCGCCGUAACAC
rnacentral:rRNA from 1 species